rnacentral:rRNA from 1 species
UACGUAGGGUGCGAGCGUUAAUCGGAAUUACUGGGCGUAAAGCGUUCGCAGGCGGUUUUUUAAGCCGGAUGUGAAAUCCCCGGGCUUAACCUCGGGACUGCAUUUGGAACUGGAAGACUAGAGUACGGCAGAGGGGGGUAGAAUUCCACGUGUAGCAGUGAAAUGCGUAGAUAUGUGGAGGAAUACCGAUGGCGAAGGCAGCUCCCUGGGUCGAUACUGACGCUCAUGCACGAAAGCGUGGGGAGCAAACAGG